UACGGGGGGGGGCAAGCGUUGUUCGGAAUUACUGGGCGUAAAGCGCGCGCAGGCGGCUUCCUAAGUCCAUCGGUCAAAUGCCGGGGCUCAACCCCGAGCGUGCCGAGGAUACUGGGAGGCUGGAGACACGUAGAGGCAAGCGGAAUUCCGGGUGUAGCGGUGGAAUGCGUAGAGAUCCGGAAGAACACCGGAGGCGAAGGCGGCUUGCUGGGCGUGAUCUGACGCUGAGGCGCGAAAGCGUGGGGAGCGAACAGG
rnacentral:rRNA from 1 species